UACGUAGGGGGCAAGCGUUGUCCGGAAUCAUUGGGCGUAAAGAGCGUGUAGGCGGCCAGAAAAGUCCGCUGUGAAAACUCGAGGCUCAACUUCGAGCUGUCGGUGGAAACUUUCUGGCUAGAGUCCGGAAGAGGAGAAUGGAAUUCCUGGUGUAGCGGUGAAAUGACGCAGAUAUCAGGAAGAACACCCGUGGCGAAGGCGGCUUGCCAGAAUGCGCUCGACGGUGAGGGAUGAAAGCUGGGAGCAAACCGGG
rnacentral:rRNA from 1 species